rnacentral:rRNA from 1 species
GACGAACGCUGGCGGCGUGCUUAACACAUGCAAGUCGAACGGAAAGGCCCUGCUUUUGUGGGGUGCUCGAGUGGCGAACGGGUGAGUAACACGUGAGUAACCUGCCCUUGACUUUGGGAUAACUUCAGGAAACUGGGGCUAAUACCGGAUAGGAGCUCCUGCUGCAUGGUGGGGGUUGGAAAGUUUCGGCGGUUGGGGAUGGACUCGCGGCUUAUCAGCUUGUUGGUGGGGUAGUGGCUUACCAAGGCGUUGACGGGUAGCCGGCCUGAGAGGGUGACCGGCCACACUAGAACUGAGACACGGGCCAGACUCCUACGAGAAGCAGGGGUGAGGAAUAUGGGACAAGGGUGGCAAGCGUGAUCCAGCGGUACCGCGUGGGGGAAGAAGGUCUUCGGGUUGGAAAGCCCUUUUGUUGGGAAAGAAAAGCAGCAGGUUAAUACCCCGCGGUUCUGGCGGUACCCAAAGAAUAAGCACGGGCUAACUUGGUG